AAACCGCCCCCUAAGUUUUGCAACUGUAGCAAUUUUGGCCCCCCAAGGCCAAUUUUUGGUAAAAAAAAAUAAAAAAUAACACGUGGCACCUCACUUAGGGUGCCACGUCAGCGAAGACCGAGUCAAAAUUGGCCUUGGGGGCCAAAACAGCCACAUAUGCAAAACUUAGCGGGCGAUUU
rnacentral:pre_miRNA from 1 species